rnacentral:sRNA from 1 species
UGAAAAAGCAGGGCCUGGGUUUUAUCGA